rnacentral:rRNA from 1 species
GCGUGUGUGAAGAAGGCCUUCAGGGUUGUAAAGCACUUUCAGCGGGGAGGAAGGCGGUGAGGUUAAUAACCUCGGCGAUUGACGUUACCCGCAGAAGAAGCACCGGCUAACUCCGUGCCAGCAGCCGCGGUAAU